CCUACGGGUGGCAGCAGUGGGGAAUAUUGCACAAUGGGGGAAACCCUGAUGCAGCGACGCCGCGUGAGUGAAGAAGUAAUUCGUUAUUUAAAGCUCUAUCAGCAGGGAAGAAAAUGACGGUACCUGAGUAAGAAUCCCCGGCUAACUACGUGCCAGCAGCCGCGGUAAUACGUAGGGGGCAAGCGUUAUCCGGAUUUACUGGGUGUAAAGGGAGCGUAGACGGGAGUACAAGUCAGGAGUGAAAGGCGGGGGCUCAACGCCGGGACUGCUCUGGAAACUGUACGGCUGGAGAGCAGGAGCGGUAGGUGGAAUUCAUGGUGUAGCGGUGAAAUGCGUAGAUAUUA
rnacentral:rRNA from 1 species